GUGGGGAAUAUUGGACAAUGGGCGAAAGCCUGAUCCAGCCAUGCCGCGUGUGUGAAGAAGGUCUUCGGAUUGUAAAGCACUUUAAGUUGGGAGGAAGGGCAGUAAGUUAAUACCUUGCUGUUUUGACGUUACCGACAGAAUAAGCACCGGCUAACUUCGUGCCAGCAGCCGCGGUAAUACGAAGGGUGCAAGCGUUAAUCGGAAUUACUUGGCGUAAAGCGCGCGUAGGUGGUUUUGUAAGUUGGAGGUGAAAUCCCCGGGCUCAACCUGGGAACUGCCUCCAAAACUGCAUGACUAGAGUACGGUAGAGGGUAGUGGAAUUUCCUGUGUAGCGGUGAAAUGCGUAGAUAUAGGAAGGAACACCAGUGGCGAAGGCGACUACCUGGACUGAUACUGACACUGAGGUGCGAAAGCGUGGGGAGCAAACAGGAUUAGAAACCCUAGUAGUCC
rnacentral:rRNA from 1 species